rnacentral:rRNA from 1 species
GUGCCAGCCGCCGCGGUAAUACGUAGGGUGCAAGCGUUAAUCGGAAUUACUGGGCGUAAAGCGUGCGCAGGCGGUUAUGCAAGACAGAUGUGAAAUCCCCGGGCUCAACCUGGGAACUGCAUUUGUGACUGUAUAGCUAGAGUACGGUAGAGGGGGAUGGAAUUCCGCGUGUAGCAGUGAAAUGCGUAGAUAUGCGGAGGAACACCGAUGGCGAAGGCAAUCCCCUGGACCUGUACUGACGCUCAUGCACGAAAGCGUGGGGAGCAAACAGGAUUAGAUACCCGCGUAGUCC